AGAGACAAGGUCUCCCUAUGUUGCCCAGGCUGGCCACAAACUCCUGUUCUCAAGUGAUCUUCCUGCCUCAGCCUCCAAAGUGUUGGGAUUAGAGGUGUGAACCACCAUGCCCAGCCAGGGCUGAUAGGAAAGGCAAAGGGAACCUCCAGGAUGAUGCUGAAGACAGAGCCCACUAUGACAGCUGUGCAACUAUCCCAGAGAGCAGACAUGAGGUAGAGAGAAAAGAUAACACAGGAUUGGGAAGCAGGUAAAGCUCAGGGAAGAUAAUUAUCUAAGGCACAAGAUCACAACAAGGCAUGUAUGAAAUAAUUACAGUCAAAGUAGGUAUCCAGUGCAUGGAACUACACAGUGACCACAGAGUGCCACAUCGAUGCAUUGCUAAUGCAGCAGAGUUCACAAACAUUGCCGACCCAGGUAAGACUGCCCCUAUCCCUUUUUGCCAAGAGCAAGGCAGAACACAGAGAAGGUAAAGGAAAGCUCAUGUGGUUAUGGAAUCCAACACAGUCAGGACUGAAGGUAGAGAAAUUAA